AGGUUUCGCCUUAUAGGCACUUCCACACUUCGAGCCGGAUCCUUUGAUCCGGCUCUUUUUUUACAAUCA
rnacentral:sRNA from 1 species